AUUGAACGCUGGCGGCAGGCUUAACACAUGCAAGUCGAGCGGAGUGAUGGUGCUUGCCCCAUCACUUAGCGGCGAACGGGUGAGUAAUGCCUAGGAAUCUGCCCAUUAGCGGGGGACAACGUGUGGAAACGCACGCUAAUACCGCAUACGCCCUACGGGGGAAAGCAGGGGACUCUUUGAGCCUUGCACUAAUGGAUGAGCCUAGGUCAGAUUAGCUAGUUGGUGGGGUAAAGGCCUACCAAGGCGACGAUCUGUAGCGGGUCUGAGAGGAUGAUCCGCCACACUGGAACUGAGACCCGGUCCAGACUCCUACGGGGGGCAGCAGUGGGGAAUAUUGGACAAUGGGCGCAAGCCUGAUCCAGCCAUGCCGCGUGUGUGAAGAAGGCCUUUUGGUUGUAAAGCACUUUAAGCGAGGAGGAGGCUUACCUGGUUAAUACCUGGGAUAAGUGGACGUUACUCGCAGAAUAAGCACCGGCUAACUCUGUG
rnacentral:rRNA from 1 species